rnacentral:rRNA from 1 species
AGAGUUUGAUCCUGGCUCAGAGCGAACGCUGGCGGCGUGCCUAACACAUGCAAGUCGAACGUGAAAGGGAGCAAUCCCAAGUAAAGUGGCGUACGGGUGAGUAACGCGUAGGUAAUCUACCCUAGAAUCUGGAAUAACCUGCCGAAAGGCGGGCUAAUACUGGAUAGAGCGAUGGAAUCCGUAAUUGGGUUUUCGGGAAA